rnacentral:rRNA from 1 species
GAUGAACGCUGGCGGCGUGCCUAAUACAUGCAAGUCGAGCGAACAGACGAGGAGCUUGCUCCUCUGACGUUAGCGGCGGACGGGUGAGUAACACGUGGAUAACCUACCUAUAAGACUGGGAUAACUUCGGGAAACCGGAGCUAAUACCGGAUAAUAUAUUGAACCGCAUGGUUCAAUAGUGAAAGACGGUUUUGCUGUCACUUAUAGAUGGAUCCGCGCCGCAUUAGCUAGUUGGUAAGGUAACGGCUUACCAAGGCGACGAUGCGUAGCCGACCUGAGAGGGUGAUCGGCCACACGGGAACUGAGACACGGUCCAGACUCCUACGGGAGGCAGCAGUAGGGAAUCUUCCGCAAUGGGCGAAAGCCUGACGGAGCAACGCCGCGUGAGUGAUGAAGGUCUUCGGAUCGUAAAACUCUGUUAUUAGGGAAGAACAAAUGUGUAAGUAACGAUGCACGUCUUGACGGUACCUAAUCAGAAAGCCACGGCUAACUACGU